rnacentral:rRNA from 1 species
UGAGUCUCCGCCCGAAAGACGCGUAAAUCAUGCUUUUAGGCGCCGCCCAAGGAUGAGGCCGCGACCGAUCAGGUAGUUGGUGAGGCAACGGCUCACCAAACCUUUAACCGGUACGGGCCGUGAGAGCGGGAGCCCGGAGAUGGGCACUGAGACAAGGGCCCAGGCCCUACGGGGCGCAGCAGUCGCGAAAACUUUGCAAUACACGAAAGUGUGACAGGGCUAUCCCGAGUGCCAUCCGCUGAGGAAGGCUUUUACCCAGUCUAGAAAGCUGGGAGAAUAAGGAGAGGGCAAGCCUGGUGUCAGCCGCCGCGGUAA